rnacentral:tRNA from 1 species
CGGCGAGUGGACCAGGCGCCGGGUCGGGGCUCCCGCGGUGAUUCACAAGGUCGCCCGCGACCUGGCCCUGCCGGUGUACGACGUCCAGCUCACCGG